ensembl:snRNA U2 U2 spliceosomal RNA
AUCGCUUCUUGGCCUUUUGGCUAAGAUCAAGUUUAGUAUCUGUUCUUAUCAGUUUAAUAUUAUGUUAGUAUAAUCUGCUUUGUAUCAGCAAUUAGUUUCAUUGGAAUAGAGAAAUGAAA